AUGCAGUCGAGCGAUGGAUUAGAGCUUGCUCUUAUGAAGUUAGCGGCGGACGGGUGAGUAACACGUGGGUAACCUGCCCAUAAGACUGGGAUAACUCCGGGAAACCGGGGCUAAUACCGGAUAACAUUUUGAACCGCAUGGUUCGAAAUUGAAAGGCGGCUUCGGCUGUCACUUAUGGAUGGACCCGCGUCGCAUUAGCUAGUUGGUGAGGUAACGGCUCACCAAGGCAACGAUGCGUAGCCGACCUGAGAGGGUGAUCGGCCACACUGGGACUGAGACACGGCCCAGACUCCUACGGGAGGCAGCAGUAGGGAAUCUUCCGCAAUGGACGAAAGUCUGACGGAGCAACGCCGCGUGAGUGAUGAAGGCUUUCGGGUCGUAAAACUCUGUUGUUAGGGAAGAACAAGUGCUAGUUGAAUAAGCUGGCACCUUGACGGUACCUAACCAGAAAGCCACGGCUAACUACGUGCCAGCAGCCGCGGUAAUACGUAGGUGGCAAGCGUUAUCCGGAAUUAUUGGGCGUAAAGCGCGCGCAGGUGGUUUCUUAAGUCUGAUGUGAAAGCCCACGGCUCAACCGUGGAGGGUCAUUGGAAACUGGGAGACUUGAGUGCAGAAGAGGAAAGUGGAAUUCCAUGUGUAGCGGUGAAAUGCGUAGAGAUAUGGAGGAACACCAGUGGCGAAGGCGACUUUCUGGUCUGUAACUGACACUGAGGCGCGAA
rnacentral:rRNA from 2 species